rnacentral:lncRNA from 1 species
AUGAGAAGCUACUCACCGUUGCAAGGGAGGAAGACAGCAUCUCUAAUGAAAUACCAGGAGGAAUUCAGGGAGUCAUCAUGUGAAUUACUUAAAGAGCAACUUGAGCAACACUCCUCCACACAGACAUGCAUUUUUUUUUCAGAUGAAAGAUCAUUCCUGCACGUAAGUACUCAGGAAUUCACUUUUAUAUUCAUCCUAAAUGUAAAGAUAAAUAGAGAUAUCGUGAUCUUUUUAUUACUAUUAUUAUUAUUAUUUAUUUAUUUUUAAGACAAGGACAUUGAAGGACCUUUCUAUUUCUGUCAUUUAUGCUCAUUAUAAAUGGAAAUGGCUUGAUGCUGAUUUCUUACAGAAUUAUGUUUUGUUUUUCACUACAAUGCUGGUAUUUGGUCUCUCAAGAAACCUUAACUUUCAGUUAAACCUCAUAAUGAAUGUGGAAAAAUGAAGGACAGUUUGUCAACAAGCCAAAAAAUAUAAUUAAAUCCUUUACUUGUUAGGCACUAGACCUCUGUUAAGCAUGGCCCAGAUGAGUCACACGUAUCAGGAAGAGAAUAGUUGCGUGGAGGCAGAAUUGACAAAGCCUUAUGAUGAAUAAGGUCACUCUUCCCAGGCUCAUAAAAGAUGGCAACUUUACAACUGUAGCAUAACAAAUCUGUUUUUAUUUAUUACCCACAAAAUCACAUAGUUUCCUAAGUAGUGAACUUUUUUUUAAAAAAGGCUUCUUUAUGCAUGAGUAAAUAUUUUUCUAAUGAAAUCUUGAUAUGUCUUGCAACCCAACCCUAGUUUGUUUAAUAGUGAGAUAGCUUUUCUCCAGGGAAAGCAGUAAGAAAUGGGGGAUGGGAAAGGGAGAAAUUGGCUCUGGCUACAACGAGCAGCUGCUCUUGCUACUUGCCUGCAAUGGAGUAAUACAUCAGUAAUUAUUUGAAAGUCAGACAGAUUCCCUGCUUUCCUUGCCAGACAAAACUCUGAGAACUGAAGACUGGAAAGGAGGAUAAAGGACUUUCAGUUUACUGUUUUUCCACUCAUGGCUUUUUUUUCCAUGUUAGCAGCUACUGCUGCUAUUAAUUUUCUGGUCUUUGUGCCCUGAGAGGCCUCACAUACUAUGCAAACUUAGUUUUAGCACUUGAGCACUAAUGCUUUUAUGUUUAUUAAAUUAACUUUUACAAAACGUUCCAGCUGUUUCUACCAUUAACUUCCAUCUGAAAGAAUAAUGUUUAUUUCCUAUUCUAUUUUAGGAAUGAUCCCAACAAAACAGUUGGUCUUCAUGGAAGAAAGGUGAAAACAGCAAAAAAAUCCACAUAAGAAAACAUUUCAAGUGGUACACCACUCAGCUGUGGUUUUCCGUGCAAGCAGAAACAGGAAGUAAAGCUAAUCUUUGAACUAGUCCCUGAAGAUGAUGAAUCAGACUCUAUUUACACUAGGAAAAUGAUGGAAAGCUUCUCACCGUUGCUAAAACAAAUUCAUGGCAUCUGAAGAAAUGUUACAUUUUCAUCACAGUUCACAGAGAUCCAAAAUAGAAUGAAUAAUGAGUAAUGUCUGAAUUAGUUUGUCGUUUUGCAAAAUCCCCCUCUUAGAUUCCCGUUAAGAAAUCUAAGGAAGAAAACACAAUUAGCUAGUGUAACGCCCCACUGACCCAAACUGGACUUGGGCAGCAAGGAAUUCAUUGCCCAACAACCUUCUGCAAAGACAGGCUAUUUUAAGGGGUUUGGGACCAGAUAAAACGUGAGGAACUCCUUGUGCAACUAGGAUGAUCAAAGCAAAUUAUAUUUAUGGAGGAUCUGCUUGUCAGAAAAUAUGUGCCUAAUGUAGCCUAAGAAGCUUGUGGACUUCCAGGAUAGAUUAGGUCUGUACAGGCAUGGCAGGGGACCUGUGUAAACCGAUCACUUUUUGCUGCAGCAGCAGCUAAACACGGAAGAAUACUCUUGGGCAUCUCAAAUGGAACCAGACCCAUAUGCACAAGCAUCUAAAUAAAGCCCUAAAUGUUAACCA